rnacentral:rRNA from 1 species
AGAGUUUGAUCAUGGCUCAGGACGAACGCUGGCGGCGUGCCUAACACAUGCAAGUCGAACGAAGCUCCCUGACGUAAGACUUCGGUCAAGCUGAUGGGAUGACUUAGUGGCGGACGGGUGAGUAACGCGUGAGGAACCUGCCUUUCAGUGGGGGACAACAGUUGGAAACAACUGCUAAUACCGCAUAAUGUACUUUGGGGGCAUCCCCGAGGUACCAAAGAUUUAUUGCUGAAAGAUGGCCUCGCGUCUGAUUAGAUAGUUGGUGAGGUAACGGCUCACCAAGUCGACGAUCAGUAGCCGGACUGAGAGGUUGAACGGCCACAUUGGGACUGAGAUACGGCCCAGACUCCUACGGGAGGCAGCAGUGGGGAAUAUUGGGCAAUGGGGGAAACCCUGACCCAGCAACGCCGCGUGAAGGAAGAAGGCUUUCGGGUUGUAAACUUCUUUUACCAGGGACGAAGGACGUGACGGUACCUGGAGAAAAAGCCACGGCUAACUACGUGCCAGCAGCCGCGGUAAUACGUAGGUGGCAAGCGUUGUCCGGAUUUACUGGGUGUAAAGGGCGCGUAGGCGGAGAUACAAGUCAGGAGUGAAAUCCAUGGGCUUAACCCAUGAACUGCUUUUGAAACUGUAUCCCUUGAGUAUCGGAGAGGCAGGCGGAAUUCCUAGUGUAGCGGUGAAAUGCGUAGAUAUUAGGAGGAACACCAGUGGCGAAGGCGGCCUGCUGGACGACAACUGACGCUGAGGCGCGAAAGCGUGGGGAGCGAACAGGAUUAGAUACCCUGGUAGUCCACGCUGUAAACGAUGAAUACUAGGUGUGGGGGGACUGACCCCUUCCGUGCCGCAGUUAACGCAUUAAGCAUCCCACCUGGGGAGUACGCCGGCAACGGUGAAACUCAAAGGAAUUGACGGGGGCCCGCACAAGCGGAGGAACAUGUGGUUUAAUUCGAUGAUACGCGAGGAACCUUACCCGGGCUUGAAUUGCAGAGGAAGGAUUUGGAGACAAUGACGCCCUUCGGGGCCUCUGUGAAGGUGCUGCAUGGUUGUCGUCAGCUCGUGCCGUGAGGUGUCGGCUUAAGUGCCAUAACGAGCGCAACCCCUCUCCAUAGUUGCCAUCAGGUGAAGCUGGGCACUCUGUGGACACUGCCACCGUAAGGUGCGAGGAAGGUGGGGAUGACGUCAAAUCAGCACGGCCCUUACGUCCGGGGCUACACACGUGUUACAAUGGCAGGUACAGAGAGCCGGUCGUAUGCAAAUACGAUCCAAUCCUUAAAGCCUGUCUCAGUUCGGACUGGGGUCUGCAACCCGACCCCACGAAGCUGGAUUCGCUAGUAAUCGCGCAUCAGCCAUGGCGCGGUGAAUACGUUCCCGGGCCUUGUACACACCGCCCGUCAAGCCAUGAAAGCCGGGGGCGCCUGAAGUCCGUGACCGCAAGGAGCGGCCUAGGGCGAAACUGGUAAUUGGGGCUAAGUCGUAACAAGGUA